rnacentral:rRNA from 1 species
AGCGAACGCUGGCGGCAGGCCUAACACAUGCAAGUCGAGCGCCGUAGCAAUACGGAGCGGCAGACGGGAGAGUAACACGUGGGAACGUACCCUUCAGUACGGAACAACCAAGGGAAACUUUGGCUAAUACCGUAUACGUCCGUAAGGAGAAAGAUUUAUCGCUGAAGGAUCGGCCCGCGUCUGAUUAGCUAGUUGGUGAGGUAACGGCUCACCAAGGCGACGAUCAGUAGCUGGUCUGAGAGGAUGGUCAGCCUCACUGGGACUGAGACACGGCCCAGACUCCUACGGGAGGCAGCAGUGGGGAAUAUUGGACAAUGGGCGCAAGCCUGAUCCAGCCAUGCCGCGUGGGUGAUGAAGGCCCUAGGGUUGUAAAGCCCUUUCGGCGGGGAAGAUAAUGACGGUACCCGCAGAAGAAGCCCCGGCUAACUUCGUGCCAGCCGCCGCGGUAA